GUAAGGUAAGCUACGCUAAGCAGAGGAAAGCUGAGUAAACUAUGCUAAUCUCAGGCAAAAUAACCUAACUAAGCUAAGUCAAGGUAAAGUAUGCUAAGUUAACACAGGCUAACCUAAACCAAGGUAAGCUAAAAUGUUAAAGAUAAAGUAACCUAAACCAAAAUAAGAUAAAUCAAGCAAAAGUAAGCUAAACUACUUUUAACUAAAUAUGAUUAGCUAAUUCAAGGAAAGCUAAGCUAAACCAAACUAAUAUAAUAUAUAAUGAACUAAUAUAGGCUGUGCUAAACUACUGUGAGGUGAGAUCAUUCAACAUAAAAUAAGCUAACUUGGUCAGGAACAUCCAAGUGUGAUUAAGUUUGAUUAAACUUACAUUAAACAAUUAUAUGAAAAACAGCU